CGUAAUGGAGCGUACUCUGCAUGCAGCGAUGCCGCGUGAGUGAAGAAGGCCUUUGGGUUGUAAAGCUCUUUUGUAGGGGAAGAUAAUGACUGCACCCUCCCAAUGAGGUCCGGCUAACUUCGUGCCAGCAGCCGCGGUAAUACAGAG
rnacentral:rRNA from 1 species